rnacentral:rRNA from 1 species
CCUACGGGAGGCAGCAGUGAGGAAUAUUGGUCAAUGGGCGCGAGCCUGAACCAGCCAAGUAGCGUGAAGGACGAAUGCCCUACGGGUUGUAAACUUCUUUUAUAAAGGAAUAAAGUGAGGCACGAGUGCCUUUUUGUGUGUACUUUAUGAAAAAGGAUCGGCUAACUCCGUGCCAGCAGCCGCGGUAAUCCGGAGGAUCCGAGCGUUAUCCGGAUUUAUUGGGUUUAAAGGGAGCGUAGAUGGGUUGUUAAGUCAGGUGUGAAAGUUUGGGGGUCAAACGUAAAAUUGCAAUUGUUACUGGCAGCCUUGAGUACACUCGAGGUAGGCGGAAUGCGUGGUGUAGCGGUGAAAUGCUUAGAUAUCACGAAGAACUCCGAUUGCGAAGGCAGCUUACCAAAC